AAGGCUUUAAGUUAAUAAAACUUAUAUCCUUCAAAGCUAUAAAUAAAGACAUUAAACUCUUUAAGUCUUA
rnacentral:tRNA from 1 species